GCCUUUGUGGUGUAGCGGUAAGUACGCUUGACGCGUAAUCAAGAAGUCCGUGGUUCGAUUCCCGACGAAGACG
rnacentral:tRNA from 1 species